UUGUGCUCUUUCCUUUCCAACUAGUGGUGGCACCUGUUGAUCCGGGAAUGGUUGCUCCUACUUCUGCCUAGUUUGGACAACGUCGUCCUCCUGGGAUUCGGGCGUCCGUUAUUGCCCGUGUGCGCAGUGCCAGCAUGCGUCUUCCUCCCGCGGAUUGUUCAUUGGUGACGGCAGACGCUGUUGUGCAUGGUCAGUUGCCUGGGGUUCAUUCAGGGCGGUGUUUCCGCUCUGUGGCUCGCCGGCCACUCCAUUCUCGCUGGCCUGGUGGCCAGCGUUCCGGCUCGGACCAGUUUCUUAAUGGAGAUCUUGAUAGACGCCGUCGUGAGAUUUCUUUAGGGAAGCGGCUUGUUGAUUGCACUGUUGUUACACCACUACUGUUGGUUCUUCUUCCAUGUUUGAUGGCCUUGUGUUUGCUGCUCGGGCCAUCAUUGCGUGAACUGAUGGUUGACAAAUCAAUUGGUCGUCCUUCUACUCUUCCUGUUGGUGUCCAUCUUGACUGUUAUUUAGUCGGUGCUCCGUCUGUGGUAACCGUCCAAGAGUGGUGCCUUUGCGUGCGGCUGGUGCCUUUUGUCGGCCUACUCCUCUUGGUAAGUUCACCUUUUUUUACUGUGCCUGUGUCGUUGCUGUUACUGGUAAUUUCCUUCUGGAUCCGAUUCUAAUUUGUAACAUGUUUGGUAUUUGAGUGAUGCCUACUCCUGUUAUGGAAUACUUUCGGGUUGUGUGCGGCCGGCGUAAGCGGGCGUUGAUGCGGUCAUACUGGUCGGGUCGGAAAAGAGUAUGCGGGAUGCAACCUCCCUUUCCAAAGGAUUAUAUUCAUUUGCUUAAGGCCACUUCUAGGGGCCGUUCGUACUAUGGCGGCCCGGAUUUGUGUUGCCAGAGGUGCGGGGCUUUAUUUUGGUUUCGUGAAGGAUCUAUACACCAUGCUGAAGCAACUUCUCACUCUCCUAUUUACACGGGAUGUUGUUGGGCGGGCAUGAUUUCGCUGCCGAAGUUUGGUGACUAGCCUACUCCUUUGGACAGGCUGAUGCGCUUUGAUGGGGAUGCGGUUUCUUCCCAGUUCAUGUGAUUAAUACGAGAGUACAAUUCUAUGUUCUAUUUUACAUCUUUGGGUGCACAGGUUGAUCAUAGUAUCAAUGUUGGAGGUGCUCCAUACGUUUUCAAGAUUAAUGGGGUGGUCUACCAUCGUAUUGGUUCGUUG